GUGUCAGCAGCCGCGGUAAUACGUAGGGUCCGAGCGUUGUCCGGAAUUAUUGGGCGUAAAGGGCUCGUAGGCGGUUCGUCACGUCGGGAGUGAAAACUCGGGGCUUAACCCCGAGCCUGCUUCCGAUACGGGCAGACUAGAGGUAGGCAGGGGAGAGCGGAACUCCUGGUGUAGCGGUGGAAUGCGCAGAUAUCAGGAAGAACACCGGUGGCGAAGGCGGCUCUCUGGGCCUUACCUGACGCUGAGGAGCGAAAGCGUGGGUAGCGAACAGGAUUAGAAACCCCCGUAGUCC
rnacentral:rRNA from 1 species